UGCCCACUCCAGUAAGUACAGCCAGCUGAACAAUACUUCAAGAAAAGCGCGCCACCUGUUCCUUAUCAGGAAAACUGACCAUGGAGAGUCUCAAGUAAGGCUGACCUACUACAUGCAUGAUUGAUUGCCUUCAGCAAAAUAAGAACUCUGACACAAGAUGAUGGGUCAAAGAAGAGGAAGAUUGGUGAGAUUUAAGAUGGGUACAGCAGAAAGCACCAACUGAGCUCCCUGAGAGAGUGAAUCUUUCUGAUUGUGCUCAGAAUUGUAGUAUUUCAGGGCAUCAACGGCUGAUGAUGAGAAUAGAUACAAAAACAUCUGAAGUUAAGAAGCACAAGCUGUUACAAUAUAGACUGAGAUGGAAGAUGAUCUGUCAUGAUGGAAUGUCAGAUAUUCUAGUGCUGACUGUCGAGUGACUGAGACAUCAAAUGAUUCAACAACAGCACAGGAAAGUGUCAUGAAAAGUUUAUGCAGCUCAGACUGAUGACCCUCCAGACUGUCAUCAGAGGUGAACUUUUUGGCCAAGGUUGACGGUCUGUUCUUCGCAGAGUCUGGAAGCACGAAAGCCCGAGGGCGCUGUCUAAGGAGGAGGAGGCGGGGCUUAGCGGGAGGGGUGCCAAACAUACCCUUAACAACAUAACUUUUCUUAUGGCAGUUAUGCAGUUUCGAUUGAUGACUCCAGAUUUGCAUCAAAGGUACAAGAUUUUUUUGGCUAAAAGAGAUGUCUGUUCUUCGCAAAGUCUGAAAGCACGUAAGCUAGAGGGCGCUCUUUACCUAGAAAGAGGCGGUGCUUAAGGAUAGGGGUGCUAAAGUUAACUUUUCCUGUGACAGUUUUGCACUCACAAAUGAUGGCCCUCCAGAUUUUCAUCAGAUAUGCAAGACAUUUUUGGCCAAAGUUGACAGUCUGUUCUUCGCAAAGACUGAAAGCACGAAAGCUAGAGGGCGCUCUUUGGGGAGAAAGAGGUGGGGCUUAGUGAUAGGGGUGCUGAACAUGCCGUAAACCAAAUUUAACUUUUCUUGUGGCAGUUUUGCAGUCAC